AGCGAACGCUGGCGGCAUGCCUAACACAUGCAAGUCGAACGAGACCUUUGGGUCUAGUGGCGCACGGGUGCGUAACGCGUGGGAACCUGCCCUUAGGUUCGGAAUAACUCCCCGAAAGGGGUGCUAAUACCGGAUAAUGUCUUCGGACCAAAGAUUUAUCGCCUUUGGAUGGGCCCGCGUUGGAUUAGCUAGUUGGUAGGGUAAAAGCCUACCAAGGCGACGAUCCAUAGCUGGUCUGAGAGGAUGAUCAGCCACACUGGGACUGAGACACGGCCCAGACUCCUACGGGAGGCAGCAGUGGGGAAUAUUGGACAAUGGGCGAAAGCCUGAUCCAGCAAUGCCGCGUGAGUGAUGAAGGCCUUAGGGUUGUAAAGCUCUUUUACCCGGGAUGAUAAUGACAGUACCGGGAGAAUAAGCUCCGGCUAACUCCGUG
rnacentral:rRNA from 1 species